UACGGAGGGUGCAAGCGUUAUCCGGAUUCACUGGGUUUAAAGGGUGCGUAGGCGGGUAAGUAAGUCCGUGGUGAAAUCUCUGAGCUUAACUCAGAAACUGCCGUGGAUACUAUUUGCCUUGAAUAUUGUGGAGGUGAGCGGAAUAUGUCAUGUAGCGGUGAAAUGCUUAGAUAUGACAUAGAACACCAACUGCGAAGGCAGCUCACUACACAAUCAUUGACGCUGAGGCACGAAAGCGUGGGGAUCAAACAGG
rnacentral:rRNA from 1 species